AAAAGGCUUUCAUUUUUUUGGUAGAAUUGAGUCGUUAAUAUGAAGGAUUCUGAUCAGUUUUUCGUCUACUAUUUCUAUGCAUUUUGGUUCUUCCUAAAAAUAAAACCUGCCCGGCUCAUUUGUACACAUGUAUGCUUAUUUUUAUUCUACAUAAUUGUGUCUGUGAAAUAGUUCGUGAUGUUUAGUGUGGUAGCCACUCAGAACUGCUACAUAUAGUUUAAUUUGGGAUCAAAAGGGGAUGUGGGGUUGCUGAAAAAUAAUUUUACCACUACUAUCUGCUUGAAAUUACAGAGGUGGAUGUACUUCUUUUGAUGAUAGUAUGACAAACUAUUGUUUUUCUACUAAUUUAUAUAGCUUUUCUCCAUAGAAAUAGAACACCGUGUGUUAGUAAUAAACUCACCAUUUUCAGUAUUUGCCUUUUUAGUGAUUAUUAAGUUAUCUCUUUUUAUGUUCAAAAUAGUGGUUGUUCCUUGGUGGCACUGGCGUCAUGGUGAAUGGCAGGCCGCCUCCGCACUGCUGGUCCCACAUAUGGGCGGGAGGCGGUUUUCCUUAUUUCUUCCGGUGUUCUACGCUAGAGAAAGGAAAACUCUCCUGAUUGGCUUUUCCUCCAUCGACUCGAGUCAUUAUAAAGACAUCAAGUUUUAGCUUUUACUAAUGUAUCCUAUGGAAUUAAAUAUUGGUCGGCAUUAUGGCUGGUAGUUUUUUUUAUGUCACUAGAUAUGGCUUUUAUGGCUAAAACUUCCUAGAAACACAUUAUCAAACACCAGGUAGAUUUACUAUUUAGAUAUAGAGAUAGUUCAUAGACUAAAAUGACAAUUGGUGAUUUAUUCCCCAUCGAAGUUGUUCAGUUUUUUAGGACGCUAAUGGACUAAGUAGUUUCGGUGGCACACGAGUCUGGAGAUAUCUCCUUCGGUGAUUUAUUCCCCAUCGAAAAUUGAGGAGAUUGUAGGGAUGAUUUGUUGAUGUUUGUUUUUUUUGGCAAUAGGUGAUACUCCUCGAACUAGAUAUUGAUGUAUCCAAGCAAUAAUCCUCGCUGCCAUCCUCUCCGUUGUUCAGGAAGGGCAUACUGGGCAUGGAGAAGCAAGAUAUUAGAGAUGGGACACCAAGGAGAGGAAGGCAGGUCUCCAGAAUAAAAAAAGACAGUUCCAAGAGGAAGGAAAGAAGGAAAGUCUGCGGCUUUGGCAGUAUGGAGAUGUUAAAUCUGACGAGGAGCAGGUUUCAGGUGCAAGAAAAGCGGGAGGCCGUCGGUAGAUGAGAGCAGAUUACUCAAGACAGUGUUCAUAGUGUAGUAAAAAUGGUCAUGGUUUACCUGUGACGUUUUGGACGCUCCCAGCAGAACUCAGCCCGAAACUAUAUGAAGUGACAGGGCUACAUUUAUGCAGUUAGAACAAGCCAAUGCUGAACGUUCUUAGUUUGAGCAGUAUUUGCUACUCCAUUCAGUUAUUACAUCUUUAGAGUGGAGAGCUAAACUACAUUCUUUCGCCCUUACGAUUAACAAGGUUGUUUCUCUGUGCACUAUAUUUUGUUGUUAUGAGGCAUUCAAA